rnacentral:rRNA from 1 species
UACAGAGGGUGCAAGCGUUAAUCGGAAUUACUGGGCGUAAAGCGUGCGUAGACGGUUAUGUAAGUCGGGUGUGAAAGCCCCGGGCUCAACCUGGGAAUGCCAUUCGAGACUGCAUAGCUAGGGUGCGGAAGAGGGAAGCGGAAUUCCCGGUGUAGUGGUGGAAUGCGUAGAUAUCGGGAGGAACACCAGUGGCGAAGGCGGUUGCCUGGAGCUUUGCUGACGCUGAUGCGCGAAAGCGUGGGGAGCGAUCCGG